rnacentral:rRNA from 1 species
UGCCAGCAGCCGCGGUAAUACGGAGGGUGCGAGCGUUGUCCGGAAUCAUUGGGCGUAAAGGGCGCGUAGGUGGCCCGGUCAGCGUGCGGUGAAAGCUCGGGGCUCAACCCCGAGUCGGCCGUGCGAACUGCUGGGCUCGAGCACUGUAGAGGCAGGCGGAAUUCCGGGUGUAGCGGUGGAAUGCGUAGAGAUCCGGAAGAACACCGGUGGCGAAGGCGGCCUGCUGGGCAGUAGCUGACACUGAGGCGCGACAGCGUGGGGAGCAAACAGGAUUAGAUACCCUGGUAGUCCACGCCGUAAACGAUGGGCACUAGGCGCUUGGGGGAGCGACCCCCCGAGGGCCGGCGCUAACGCAUUAAGUGCCCCGCCUGGGGAGUACGGCCGCAAGGCUGAAACUCAAAGGAAUUGACGGGGGCCCGCACAAGC